UCCUCAUGGUUGUCUCACAUCUCCUCGCGGAGGCGUGCCCACGCCGCUCAAAUAUAGCGCUGCAGACGCGCGCUUGACUCAUUCGGUUGGUCUGAGCUAAACAGUGAGGUAAGCAGAGCCACGUUGCCCACGCCAGGAGAUCAUGCGUUUGUCUCGUACCAUAUCCACUCCCAAAAUUGUGAAAGAGCGCGUUCGUUUCAGUGUAUCGUGAAGCGCCCAUGCCGCUACAAUUUCGCUUUUAGUGGAAAAACGUUCUACGAAGUGAUACAAAGUACGAGGUUUGGACGUCUACUUUCCGUUCAGCUGUUUGUGGAGGACGCAUGAUUUAUCUGUGCCGGACUAAAAGCGAGGAGUGCAUGAAAGAUCUCAAGGCUAUACUCCGCUGCGCCACACUGGGAGCCUUACUGGAUAAGCAGGAGAAGGAUCCCUGUAAUUCCAAAAAAGCUCCACUUCUGUCUUCUCCCACGAUGGCUCUGGCCUCCUUCCAUCUGAUGCAAACUCUAAAGAACUCACCGGCGGCUCUGCGCCGGCGAUUCCGUCGCGACCGCACAGAGAGCCUCUCUCACGGCGAUCCCCUCUUCAAGGUGCAUUACCUCGGCACCAAGAAGAUCUUCUCUCUGGACUUGGAACAGGCGGAGGAUGCCAUUGAUCGACUGCUAGAUGGGGCCCCUGGGAAGCUUUCUAAAGAUCAUGCCCUGGUAGUUCGUCCCCGAUAUGUUGAGGUUAAAGAACUGAGUACCGGAAGGCAGCUCACCAAGACCUACUUGCAGGACAUUGCAUACUGCGCCUCGCACACGGCCAGACCCAAUGUGUUUCUGUACAUCUGCAGGCAGCCUGGUCAGCAACUGCAGUGCAGAGUGUUCUGGUGCAGUCGGGCAGAAAGGGCGAAGGAUAUGACCGCCUGCCUGGCAAAGUCGUUUCAGCGAGCGCUUAAUGACUGGCAGGGUGGAUGCGCCACCUUGCCGCAGGGGGAAGUGCUAACUAAAGAGCCAGAGAUGCCUGGUACGCCCACUGCACCCAGAGGGUCAACAUUGCCAGCCAGUUUGGGAAAAGUCCGUUGGAAGAAGAGGGGGUCGGUGUCUCGCAGUCCCCUCCGUUCCAUAACCAGAAGAGGUUCUGCCAGCGACAACUGGCACUGAGAGUCCCCCGUCACACCCUGGACCUUAAUUUUGUGAUUCCUGGGAAUUUCCAGAACUGAAUGUGAGGAAAAGGACAACCACACCUAUAACUGGUGGAACUUUUGAGCUUUGAUAGAGUUUGCAACUCAAGUAUGUGCCGAGUCUGUGUCUGAACAGCUAACACAUUUGAGGUUACCAGUCUACCAAAGUGAUAAACUAUAGGUUUCCAGAGAUAAUUAUUUUUGGUUUAGGAUGUUGAUGGGUUCAGUCAUUUUAUCUCUGUUUGCUUAAGGACAAAGAUACAAAACCAAAGCUGUUCAUCUGCACUGAACUGGCAUUUAGUUUUUAAAGCCAUGUAUUUAUCAUAGAGUUGAGGGCUUCUAGUCAGUCUCCUCCUCUGUGUACAUGUCUGGAUAGUUUGCUAAUGUGACUGAUGAGCAAUGAGACAGUUUCUGUUUGUAUUAGAGAUGUCAAGAAAGGAUCUGUGUGGAAAGUGGGUGGAUGCAUGAUGGUAAACAGUAGCAGGAUCAGAAGGUUAAAGCGUUUGAAAAAUGCACAAGUUAUGCUGUAAAUGUGCAUUGUGAAGACAAUCAGCUUUUUAUCCUAAACGACUGUAUGCUUACCAAAUGCUCUUUUUCACAUGGCCAAAUCUCCACACAUUGUUACUAAUGAUAUUGAAUUGAUAUUACAUCCUUUAUGUGACCAUUAUUCAUGGUGAAUUAUUUACUGCGUAUUUACUUGGCUUCAGGACCAGCUUGACAAUCAGGACCGGUUGUUAUUUGGCAUUGGAAAGACAGAGGUACUGAGAUUCAUGUUUCUGGUGGUCUAUCAUAGCCAUAUCCCGCUUUGCCUGGUUCUACCUCAGUUUGCCAUUUUUAUUCAUAGUUUAAGUCAUUCAAGCAUUGAACUUGAAGCAUAGGUCCUAAAUCCCAACAGAUAAUGAAGUGUAGAGUUAGUGGUAUUACUGUGUGCUCUUAAAAUGAGAAGUAUUCUCUCUAUGCACCUGCAUUCCAGCAGUUUUUGAGGCCAUAGUGGCUCAUGCACCCCUCCUUUUUCUUUUUUUCUCUGUAAAAGCAAGUUGUUUUUCAACAUCAGCCCAUUUUUCUCCAAAAAGAAAAAAGCCAACUGAGACACUGUCUCCAGGCAACAGUUUAUGACAUCAGAAUGCUGACUGAUUCAAAAGUAUGCUUGCAUAGAGCCUCAUGUCCUUGAAAAAGCAGCAUUGUUACACUGCAGUUACAUGUAGUUCUGAAGCGCAAGGAAGCAUUUUUAAGUGGCCAGGUUGCAUAAACCAAAUAUUUUAAACAAAGAUGCCCUUCUUCGCAUGACUGGAACAAUCAAGUUUUCCUAGAACAAAGAUUGUCUAGCACCACAAGUAGCUAUUUCCUUCACACUGUUACAUAUGCUCACUGAGAAUUGCAUCAUAUCACAGCAGUAUACAGUCGGCGCCUCAUGGUAUUAAACAUUUUGCCUGACGCGUUAGGGCAAUUACGUCAAAGGAUUUGUUUUUUUCAGUUUUAUCCUUAUGGAUUUUAUUUAAAGUAUAGUAUUAAACCAUAUCUCGCACUACAAAGACUUCGGAUCUGUUGUUGGAUCUGUAAUGUCUGCUUUAUGAGGUGUUUGAUGUUCUAUGAAUGUUCUUGUACCUUAUUUUAAAACUAUUUGCGUGUAUCUAUUUAAAUAUUAAAUGUAUUUUAUGGAAUAUUAAACUUUUUAUACAUUAAA